rnacentral:rRNA from 1 species
GACGAACCGUGCGAACGUUAUUCGGAAUCACUGGGCUUAAAGCGCGUGUAGGCGGCCCGGCACGUCCGUCGCUGAAAUCCCCCGGCUCAACCGGGGAAGUGGCGUGGAUACGACCGGGCUGGAGGGGGGUAGGGGGAGCCGGAACUUCCGGUGGAGCGGUGAAGUGCGUUGAGAUCGGAAGGAACGCCCGUGGCGAAAGCGGGCUCCUGGACCCACCUGACGCUGAGACGCGAAAGCCAGGGAGCGAACGGG